GUGUCUCAUUCCCCCUCAAAGCAAAAAAAGUUGAAACACUCUAAAAAAACCACAAAAUUGGUUCCACAACAAAUUUCAGUUAAGGUAAACAACUUUUUUUUUCUCGACAAUGUUUUGUAGUUUAAUAUUUUUUUGCCAAAAAAUGCAUAUUUGGGUUGCUUAUACAAAUUAUAGUUAAUUGUUGUUAUUCGGAGUUAAUGUGUAAUUGUUUGGCAGAAUAUACUGUUGAAUCAAAUUUGUAGUCAAUUGUAGUUUUUUGUAGUUUAAUGUAGUGUAAUGUAAUGUUUAUUUGGAACUGUCACAGUUGA
rnacentral:lncRNA from 1 species